rnacentral:rRNA from 1 species
CCUACGGGGGGCAGCAGUGGGGAAUAUUGGACAAUGGGGGCAACCCUGAUCCAGCCAUGCCGCGUGUGUGAAGAAGGCCCUCGGGUUGUAAAGCACUUUCAGUGAGGAAGAACGCCUGGUGGUUAAUACCCAUCAGGAAAGACAUCACUCACAGAAGAAGCACCGGCUAACUCCGUGCCAGCAGCCGCGGUAAUACGGAGGGUGCGAGCGUUAAUCGGAAUUACUGGGCGUAAAGCGCGCGUAGGUGGCUUGAUAAGCCGGUUGUGAAAGCCCCGGGCUCAACCUGGGAACGGCAUCCGGAACUGUCAAGCUAGAGUGCAGGAGAGGAAGGUAGAAUUCCCGGUGUAGCGGUGAAAUGCGUAGAGAUCGGGAGGAAUACCAGUGGCGAAGGCGGACUUCUGGACUGACACUGACACUGAGGUGCGAAAGCGUGGGUAGCAAACAGGAUUAGAUACCCGAGUAGUC